UACGGAGGGUGCAAGCGUUAAUCGGAAUUACUGGGCGUAAAGCGCGCGUAGGCGGGUUGUUAAGUUGGAUGUGAAAGCCCCGGGCUCAACCUGGGAACUGCAUCCAAAACUGGCAAGCUAGAGUACGGGAGAGGGUGGUGGAAUUUCCUGUGUAGCGGUGAAAUGCGUAGAUAUAGGAAGGAACACCGGUGGCGAAGGCGGCUACCUGGGCUGAUACUGACACUGAGGUGCGAAAGCGUGGGGAGCAAACAGG
rnacentral:misc_RNA from 1 species